rnacentral:rRNA from 1 species
AGCGAACGCUGGCGGCAGGCUUAACACAUGCAAGUCGAGCGGGCACUUUCGGGUGUCAGCGGCGGACGGGUGAGUAACGCGUGGGAACGUGCCCUCUGGUUCGGAAUAACUCAGGGAAACUUGAGCUAAUACCGGAUACGCCCUUUUGGGGAAAGGCUUGCUGCCGGAGGAUCGGCCCGCGUCUGAUUCGCUAGUUGGUGAGGUAACGGCUCACCAAGGCGACGAUCAGUAGCUGGUCUGAGAGGAUGAUCAGCCACACUGUGACUGGGACACGGCCCAGACUCCUACGGGAGGCAGCAGUGGGGAAUAUUGGACAAUGGGCGCAAGCCUGAUCCAGCCAUGCCGCGUGAGUGAUGAAGGCCUUAGGGUUGUAAAGCUCUUUUAUCCGGGACGAUAAUGACGGUACCGGAGGAAUAAGCCCCGGCUAACUUCGUG